rnacentral:rRNA from 1 species
UACGUAGGUCCCGAGCGUUGUCCGGAUUUAUUGGGCGUAAAGCGAGCGCAGGUGGUUUAUUAAGUCUGGUGUAAAAGGCAGUGGCUCAACCAUUGUAUGCAUUGGAAACUGGUAGACUUGAGUGCAGGAGAGGAGAGUGGAAUUCCAUGUGUAACGGAGAAAUGCGUAGAUAUAUGGAGGAACACCGGUGGCGAAAGCGGCUCUCUGGCCUGUAACUGACACUGAGGCUCGAAAGCGUGGGGAGCAAACAGG